GUAACCGGCUCACCAAGGCGACGACGGGUAGCCGGCCUGAGAGGGCGACCGGCCACACUGGGACUGAGACACGGCCCAGACUCCUACGGGAGGCAGCAGUGGGGAAUAUUGCACAAUGGGCGCAAGCCUGAUGCAGCGACGCCGCGUGAGGGAUGACGGCCUUCGGGUUGUAAACCUCUUUCAGCAGGGAAGAAGCGCAAGUGACGGUACCUGCAGAAGAAGCGCCGGCUAACUACGUGCCAGCAGCCGCGGUAAUACGUAGGGCGCGAGCGUUGUCCGGAAUUAUUGGGCGUAAAGAGCUCGUAGGCGGCUUGUCGCGUCGGUUGUGAAAGCCCGGGGCUUAACCCCGGGUCUGCAGUCGAUACGGGCAGGCUAGAGUUCGGUAGGGGAGAUCGGAAUUCCUGGUGUAGCGGUGAAAUGCGCAGAUAUCGGGAGGAACACCGGUGGCGAAGGCGGCUCUCUGGGCCUGUCCUGACGCUGAGGCGCGAAAGCUAGGGGAGCGAACAGGAUUAGAUACCCUGGUAGUCCACGCCGUAAACGGUGGGCACUAG
rnacentral:rRNA from 1 species